ensembl:lncRNA
GUGUGUGUGUGUCUGUGAUACUUUACAUUGAAACCAUAAUGUGGAUAUUGUAGACUAAGAAGCCAUUGAAGGAGAAAAUAUACUAUUCAAGAGAUUAUUUCUUAAAUGCCUAUUGCUUGCCAAUCACCAAACUAGAUUUCUGAGUUACAGUUGUGAAUAGACCACUGACUUAGUGGAAGUCAGUCUGACUGGAGACAACUCAAACAAGUCUAUAAAAUAUGGAGACAAGUGAUAGAAGAUGACACCAGAGAAUGUGUAAGGGACCAGGGAGAAGCACACGAGACAAGAAAAAGCUUUCUGCUUCUUUAUCUGACCGCCAUUUGAGGAACUGUGCCAAAAGAACCCUCUGAAGCUGUGAGCCCAAAUAACACUCUCCCUUAACUUGCAUCUGUCUGGUGUUUUUGCUGAAACAGGAGGAGCAGCUAAUGCAAUCGAUGUAAAACAAAUGUGAACCAAGCUGGUAAGCAGCAGGAAAAAUGCUCAGAGAACUUCCAGUUUUAGCCUUGCUGGAGGGAAUGGGGACUUGAGGAAGAAAUUACUCCAUCAGCAAGCAGAGUGACCUCACUGGAAUGCCAAUUUCACAGUUAUUCUGGGAAUAAUAGUGCAAGUUGAGAGCAAGAAAUUAAAAGUCCAAUAACUUGCUAGGAAAACUAGUUCACUUGGAUUCUUGUCAUGGUCCCAGGAGUGAUGGGUGGGGACAAGGGUACAGCUCAUGACUAUGCUCAGGGGCUGUUCUGUAAAUAGUAUUAAAUUUGAUGAUUUUUAUUCUAACAGAAUGAUGUGGGGGGAUUUCUUCAGCAUUCUAACUCUUCCAAUUUCAAUCAAAUUAAAUGACUAGUGUAUGCUACCCCACCUGGCUUUCCAAGCCCCACAGAAGUUGGCAUUUGUGAUGGUGGUGGCUUUUAGCCUUUCAAGUGGCCAGCUGGUUGUAAUGAUUUCAGCUCUACCCUCUGAAUUGAAUAUUAUCCCCCCAAAUUCAAACAUUGAAAUCCUAAUUACUUUACAAUUUGACCCUGGAAAUAGGAUGCCUGAGGAGCAAAUGAAGUCCUUGGGAUGGGCUCUAAUCCAACA